rnacentral:rRNA from 1 species
GAUGAACGCUGGCGGCGUGCUUAACACAUGCAAGUCGAACGGAAAGGCCCAAGCUUGCUUGGGUACCCGAGUGGCGAACGGGUGAGUAACACGUGGGUGAUCUGCCCUGCAUUUCGGGAUAAGCCUGGGAAACUGGGCCUAAUACCGGAUAGGACCACUUCUUGGAUGUUGUGGUGGAAAGUUUUUUCGGUGUGGGAUGAGCUCGCGGCCUAUUCGCCUGUUGGUGGGGUAAUGGCCUACCAAGGCGUCGACGGGUAGCCGGCCUGAGAGGGUGUACGGCCACAUUGGGACUGAGGUGCGGCCCAGACUCCUACGGGAGGCAGCAGGGGGGAAUAUUGCACAAUGGGCGCAAGCCUGGUGCAGCGACGCCGCGUGGGGGAUGACGGCCUUCGGGUUGUAAACUCCUUUCGCUAGGGACGAAGCGUUUUGUGACGGUACCUGGAGAAGAAGCACCGGCUAACUACGUG